rnacentral:misc_RNA from 1 species
CGUUGACCGGCGCGAUGUACAUAGGUGUGGUGGAGGAGUAGUCGAUUGUGACGUUGGGGUCGGCAGAGUAGGAGACGCCGCUGGCGGCUCCCUGGAGGUAGAGGGAGUCGUCCCCCCAGCUGCGGUAAAGGCCGGAGUCCUGGACAGGAGAGAGGGCUUGUCCGCCUACGUUGAGACGGUAGACGGUUUGUAUGGCGGUGUCGGGGUCGAUGGGGUAGAGGAUGGCGGAGCCGCCGGUGACGAGGCUAGCGGAGGAGGUGGAGAAGAAGUCAGGGAUCGAGACGAUCUCAAUCCCGUUGACGAAGGCAAAGGCGGUGGGGGAGGAGGGCGUGAAGGUGAGGUUGAGGCCAGCGUCGGAGACGUUGAGGGAGAAUUCCUUUAUGAGGUAGGCGAAGUUGAGGGCGGCGGAGGUCUGAUAGACGCUGAAAUUGGAGAGGAGGGUGACGGGGCCGGCAGUGACGGUGAAGAGGGCGGCGGAGGUGGGGGAGGGGGCGGAAGAGUAGUUGGCUG